rnacentral:ribozyme from 1 species
AAAGAAAUCAAGGAAAGAAUAAGUUACGCUAAAGAGAAUCUACAACUCUUGUGUGUUGAAGCCAGUCAAGUAUUUCU